AUACUCUGGUUUCUCUUCAGAUUGUAUAAAUACUUUGCCCUUUAUUAAAUAUUUCUGUGGAGAGAAUUCUGAGUUUAUACACAAUUUUUGAGGCCCUGUGUCAAUAGGGC
rnacentral:snRNA from 1 species